rnacentral:rRNA from 1 species
AUUGAACGCUGGCGGCAGGCCUAACACAUGCAAGUCGAACGGUAACAGGAAGAAGCUUCCUUCUUUGCUGACGAGUGGCGGACGGGUGAGUAAUGUCUGGGAAACUGCCUGAUGGAGGGGGAUAACUACUGGAAACGGUAGCUAAUACCGCAUAACGUCGCAAGACCAAAGAGGGGGACCUUCGGGCCUCUUGCCAUCGGAUGUGCCCAGAUGGGAUUAGCUUGUUGGUGGGGUAACGGCUCACCAAGGCGACGAUCCCUAGCUGGUCUGAGAGGAUGACCAGCCACACUGGAACUGAGACACGGUCCAGACUCCUACGGGAGGCAGCAGUGGGGAAUAUUGCACAAUGGGCGCAAGCCUGAUGCAGCCAUGCCGCGUGUAUGAAGAAGGCCUUCGGGUUGUAAAGUACUUUCAGCGGGGAGGAAGGGAGUAAAGUUAAUACCUUUGCUCAUUGACGUUACCCGCAGAAGAAGCACCGGCUAACUCCGUG